rnacentral:rRNA from 1 species
UACGUAGGUGGCAAGCGUUGUCCGGAUUUACUGGGCGUAAAGAGCGCGCAGGCGGUCGUUCAAGUCGCGUGUGAAAGCCCCCGGCUCAACUGGGGAGGGUCACGCGAUACUGAUCGACUGGAAGGCAGGAGAGGAUAGUGGAAUUCCCGGUGUAGUGGUGAAAUGCGUAGAUAUCGGGAGGAACACCAGUGGCGAAGGCGACUACCUGGCCUGUUCUUGACGCCGAGGCGCGAAAGCUAGGGGAGCAAACGGG